GAGAUUAAGAGCAGGCCCAUGUGUUUUAUGCACCGUUGUCUUCAACCGACUCCAAACGGUGCCCUCUUUCAGCAAUCCAUUCAAUAGAGUGAUCAACAGCUCAACACCAACAAUCCUAGAAAGCAAACACAAUUUUCGUCUUAGCCACACAAUAAUAAUACAUUGCAUCAUAAACCAUACGAAGAAGAGUCGAAAAAUGGCACCUGUUUCUAGAAGACAGUACGUCCAGGUUAGCAAGAGUUAUGCACACUUUGGACCCAUAGCUACCAGGCAGAGCGAGCAUCCCUGCAAAAUAGACCACAAAAAGGAAAAUGAACAGAUAUAUUAAUGUGCCUGUUCUAACCCAGAACAAUCUAGUGUAGAAAUACAUACCGUCUUGCAUUUUGAGAGUACAUCCCAUGACCAGAGCAAUUACCGGCAAAAUGUUUUAUCCCACGAAAUAUUGCUAAUAGAAGCAGUCACAUAACUAAACACUAAUGAAGCGUGAUGGAUAAAGUAACACCACGAAUCUCAAAAACUUCUCGUCCACCAUAAGCAAAUACUUAGAACUCUGAAAAUGUAUGACGACAGUAUGUGAUAUUCCCGGAUACCCGUGGUCAUCAGGUGAUUUAGCAUAACAAGCACACAUAAUCAGAAGUUAGUAUAUUAAUCUUGA
rnacentral:lncRNA from 1 species